rnacentral:rRNA from 1 species
GAUGAACGCUGGCGGCGUGCCUAAUACAUGCAAGUCGAGCGAACAGAUAAGGAGCUUGCUCCUUUGACGUUAGCGGCGGACGGGUGAGUAACACGUGGGUAACCUACCUAUAAGACUGGGAUAACUUCGGGAAACCGGAGCUAAUACCGGAUAAUAUUUCGAACCGCAUGGUUCGAUAGUGAAAGAUGGUUUUGCUGUCACUUAUAGAUGGACCCGCGCCGUAUUAGCUAGUUGGUAAGGUAACGGCUUACCAAGGCGACGAUACGUAGCCGACCUGAGAGUGUGAUCGGCCACACUGGAACUGAGACACGGUCCAGACUCCUACGGGAGGCAGCAGUAGGGAAUCUUCCGCAAUGGGCGAAAGCCUGACGGAGCAACGCCGCGUGAGUGAUGAAGGUCUUCGGAUCGUAAAACUCUGUUAUUAGGGAAGAACAUACGUGUAAGUAACUGUGCACGUCUUGACGGUACCUAAUCAGAAAGCCACGGCUAACUACGUG